rnacentral:rRNA from 1 species
GACGAACGCUGGCGGCGUGCUUAACACAUGCAAGUCGAACGAGAGCGUAGAGAAAGCUUGCUUUUUCUACAAUCUAGUGGCAAACGGGUGAGUAACGCGUAAACAACCUGCCCUACGGAUGGGGACAACAGCUGGAAACGGCUGCUAAUACCGAAUACGUUCCGAAAGUCGCAUGACUAUCGGAAGAAAGGAUGGCCUCUAUUUAUAAGCUAUCGCCGGAGGAGGGGUUUGCGGCUGAUUAGCUAGUUGGAGGGGUAACGGCCCACCAAGGCGACGAUCAGUAGCCGGUCUGAGAGGAUGAACGGCCACAUUGGAACUGAGACACGGUCCAGACUCCUACGGGAGGCAGCAGUGGGGAAUCUUCCGCAAUAGGCGAAAGCCUGACGGAGCAACGCCGCGUGAGUGAAGACGGCCUUCGGGUUGUAAAACUCUGUUAUACGGGACGAAUAAUCUUGUGGUUAAUACCCAUGAGAAGUGACGGUACCGUAAGAGAAAGCCACGGCUAACUACGUG